AUAGUUGCAAGUAGCGCGCGGUUUGGUAUCGCUUGCCUACCUUGUGCGGCUGUUGUGGCUGCAGAGAGAGGCUGAAAGGUGGCCGUGGGCGUGGACCUGCUGAGGGUCUUUUAAGGACCGAUGUGAGCUACCAGUGGUCCUGUGUACCGAGAAGGCAGCAGAUGGCAGGUGCCAGGUUAUCAGGCUGUACACUGAAGCCUCCAGCAAGGAAGAGUUUCAGAUCUGAACUCCAAGAAAGAAGACAUUGAUCCAGCUGAGAGACUUGCAAUCUCUUCGUUGUGCAGAAAAUUGGUAAAUGUUCUCAGGACAAAGCUUCCAACAAGAAUACUUACAUGGGGGGCCUUCUCCUAAGGAAACUUGCUGUGUCACAUAGCUAGCAGCCCUUGCAGGGGAUUAAGACUUGCUUAGCAAUCCAAAGUUACAAAACCGGCCCCAAAGUACAAUUAAAGAUGGCAGGUCAAACACACACAUCAGACUUAGCAAACAAUAAGUCCAGAUGGAGCCAGUCAGAAAGCUCCAGGAAUAUUUCUUCAAAUAAAUGAAACUGAUUGCAUCCCAAUUACUUUUGAAUGUAUUUAGAGGAGAUCAUGCAACAGUGUUUAGGUUUGAAUUAAUGAAAAGUCAAUAGGAAGCUAAGAAAAUUUUAAAAAAUUAAAUAUCAUCUCCAGGGAAAAACAAAAUGUUACCAAA